CUUUGUUGUCUUGGAAAGGUAGCCCAGGAUGAUGAGUGCACUUGAAGUAACAUUGUGAUUUGCUGGAAUCAAGAAUCUUGGAUUUCUCCAUGCCUUUCCCUAGAUAUAAUUAAAGAACUGCUUAUCAGUGAACUGCACACAGAUGUUCCAUCUCUCUUCCAUAAGUGCCUCAUAUACUCAAGGUGGUGGCUGGAGAAUUGAUAAGGACUUGAUGCUCAUCCAGGACUGGAUGACUUCUUCAGCAGUACUCCACAAAGUGACAGGAGGGAAUGACAGGAGGAAACAAAGAGCUGUUUUCUGAUGUUCUUCUGAAUUUCUUCUACAACAGUGAAGCAAUGAGCUACCAAGUAUAGUUUAGCCUAAUCUGAAGGACAUGGAUCUUUAACAGAGCUUUCACUUUUCCAGGUAAUUGUGGAAGAAAAUUAACAACCCAACUCCUUGCAAACAUGCAGCUCUAGUUGAUUCUUAGUGAAGAAGAGACCUUUAUAGACAGGCUUAUAAUGACUAAGAAAGGAAAAAUAAAG
rnacentral:lncRNA from 13 species